AAAUUUAUUUAAUGAUUUUAAAUAUCUCGAAAAUAAGGGAGCUAAAUUUAUAUUAUUUUUUUUGUAGCAAUAAAAUUAUAAAUAUAGAUUUAGAAAUUAAAUGUUAAACGAACUUAUUAAUAUCUAGUUUUUUUAGAAAUAAAUUUAAUUUAGAUAUAAUUAUUUUAGUAAAUUAAAUUUUAUUUUAAUUUAUUAAUUUUUAUAUUAAAAAUUUAUGGGAUAAUCUAUAAAUUUAAGAUAAAAAUUUAAUUUUAAUUUUUAAUGUUAUAGAGAUAAUAUUUUUCUUUAAUUUUAAUAAUUUAAUAAUUUAAUAUUUAUAAAUUAAUAAUGAUUUAAAUUUAUAUUUUAUUUUUCUAUAAAAAUUUAUAUUUUAAUUAAUAAAAUAUAGAAAUAAUGAUUAGAUUAGUAAUAAAGUUAUAUUUUAUAAUGAUAUUUUGUAUUAUAUAAUUUAAAGGAAUUCGGCAAAUAUAUUAUUCACCUGUUUAUCAAAAACAUGUCCUGUUGAUUAUAAUUUUAGGUCGAUCUGCUCAAUGAAUUAUUUUAAAUAGCUGCAGUAUGUUGACUGUACAAAGGUAGCAUAAUAAAUUGUCUUUUAAUUGAAGAAUUGUAUGAAAGAAUUAAUGAAAUAAUAACUGUCUCUAAAUUAUUAAAUGAAUUUAAAUUUUUAGUUAAAAUUCUAAAAUUUAAUUAUGGGACGAUAAGACCCUAUAGAAUUUAAUUUAAUUUUUAAAUUUAUUUAUAAUUUUAAUAAAUAUAUUUAAGAUUAAAUUUGAUUGGGAGGAUUGGUAAAUUUAAUAAACUUUAUUUAAGAUUUAAUUUUGAUAUAAAGAUAAUUUUUUGAAUUAUAAAUUGUAAUUAAAAGAAUAAAUUACCUUAGGGAUAA
rnacentral:rRNA from 2 species